rnacentral:rRNA from 1 species
ACAAGCGUGGAUGAUGUGAUUAAUCGAUGCAACGCGAAAACCUUACCUACCCUUGACAUGUCUGGAACCUUGCUGAGAGGCGAGGGUGCCUUCGGAGCCAGAACACAGGUGCUGCAUGGCUGUCGUCAGUUCGUGUCGUGAGAUGUUGGGUUAAGUCCCGCAACGAGCCGCAACCCUUGUCAUUAGUUGCCAUCAUUUAGUUGGGCACUCUGAUGAGACUGCCGGUGACAAACCGGAGGAAGGUGGGGAUGACGUCAAGUCCUCAUGGCCCUUAUGGGUAGGGCUUCACACGUCAUACAAUGGUCGGUACAGAGGGUUGCCAAGCCGCGAGGUGGAGCCAAUCCCUUAAAGCCGAUCGUAGUCCGGAUCGUAGUCUGCAACUCGACUACGUGAAGUCGGAAUCGCUAGUAAUCGCAGAUCAGCAUGCUGCGGUGAAUACGUUCCCGGGCCUU